rnacentral:rRNA from 1 species
UCGGGAUAACACCUGGAAACAGAUGCUAAUACCGGAUAACAACAGAUGAUGCCUAUCAACUGUUUAAAAGAUGGUUCUGCUAUCACUCUUGGAUGGACCUGCGGUGCAUUAGCUAGUUGGUAGGGUAACGGCCUACCAAGGCGAUGAUGCAUAGCCGAGUUGAGAGACUGAUCGGCCACAUUGGGACUGAGAUACGGCCCAAACUCCUACGGGAGGCAGCAGUA